AUGUAUUGGGCUCAUGAUGAUGACAUAGAAGGCUAUUGGCUCGACCUAACUUAUUUUUUUAUGGUCUAUGUUUAGUUUCUUUCUGAACAAGUUACAUACCCUAAUCUAGUCUUAUAUAUAUUCAUGGUCUGAUUGUAUUCUUUGAUCACUUAAUAAAAGAUAAACCUUAACCAAACCAUGUAAUUGUAUUCUUUCCAACUUGUAGACAUAGGUUACCUUGAUCGAACCACAUAAAUCCUAUGUUGUUUGUCUUCUUGCUUUAUUGGGUGUUUGUUUGCUUCCGUAUCGACAUUCUCUUCCUAUCCUAAGAAGAUAAGACAAUUGAUGCAAUUUGGAGUGGAGCAGGUGAAGUGAGGGGCAUCGUGCGAGAUAGUCAAAGAGAGAAGGGGAGGAUUGUGAUGGAACAUAAGAGGGGAGGUGCUAUAGAAUAUAUUCUUAUUUUCACAAUUUUUAAUGUUCUUCUUUAUUCGUAAAAAGGUAUAACUAUUAUUUUGCAUUAACUUGACAUAUCUAGUGUACUAGAUUAACAUAUUUUUUUAUAUUUCCUACUCGAACUUAUAAAUUCUCUAUCUAUAUUUUUUUAUAUUUUCCUACUCGAACUUAUAAAUUCUCUAUCUAUAUUAAUUCAUAACAUUGUGAUUAAUAGUAAUAUUUUUUUGUCUUUUGUGGUUUUUUUUCCAAAGUAAACUUUUGGGGUUUCCAUUUAAUAACAAAACUUUGAUUUCUAAGAAAUUGCCGCAAAAGUUCAAUGUGUUUAUUAGUUUUUGUUUUACUCUUUUUCCCGGAUUUGGUCGUCGUUUAGUGGUCAUAUUUGGUCCCUCAGGUUUUCUUACCCCCUCGACUUUCUAGUACGUGUCGGUAUCAAUUCAACUUUGUUUACGUUUUACAUCACGUGAGUCAUUUAGUGUUAGAAAUUCGUGUUUUUUAAGUUUUUUUUCUCUACUUUGGUCAUCGUUUGGUUGCUACAUAACAUGAUUUUACGCCCCUGUCCCGCAACGCGGGAGCCUUAAGACUAGUUGUGUUAUUAACUGGUGAACGUCUGAACGGUAGGAUCUGUAACCAAAUUUGCAAUAGGAAGCUGUCACGAGAAACAAUAAGUGUAAUUUGGUCCUUAAAUUAUUGAAAGAGUAGUACUCUUAUUAAAAUUUGAAAAUAAGGUUCUGAUGGAAUUGGAAAGGCCAAAAGUGUAAAAAGGGUGAGUGAUGUUGAAAGUGAAUGAAUGAUAAUAAUUAAACAGUAGCCUGAUUAAGGAAAUUAAAUAAUAAGUCAUCUU
rnacentral:lncRNA from 1 species